UCCUUUCGUCUUAUGAUCCUUUUAAUAAUGGAGUCAAUGAUGUACAUAAUCGCUUAACAUAUAGUAAUACACUAAUAUAUAAGAAAGUGAGGUGUUGUUGUUCUAUUUCUAUUUGCUGCUGAAAAAGCAGAAAUUGCGAGAGGUAGGAGUUUGUUCCGUGCGGUAUAGAGUAUAUGUCUUGUUUCCAAGUGUUAGAGUAGGUUGUUCUCGUGUGGCGUGUUCCAACUUCCUAUUGAAUUUUUCAAUACAGAGUAUACAUAU
rnacentral:lncRNA from 1 species